rnacentral:rRNA from 1 species
UGGGGAAUAUUGCACAAUGGGCGCAAGCCUGAUGCAGCCAUGCCGCGUGUAUGAAGAAGGCCUUCGGGUUGUAAAGUACUUUCAGCGGGGAGGAAGGCGAUAAGGUUAAUAACCUUGUCGAUUGACGUUACCCGCAGAAGAAGCACCGGCUAACUCCGUGCCAGCAGCCGCGGUAAUACGGAGGGUGCAAGCGUUAAUCGGAAUUACUGGGCGUAAAGCGCACGCAGGGGUCUGUCAAGUCGGAUGUGAAAUCCCCGGGCUCAACCUGGGAACUGCAUUCGAAACUGGCAGGCUAGAGUCUUGUAGAGGGGGGUAGAAUUCCAGGUGUAGCGGUGAAAUGCGUAGAGAUCUGGAGGAAUACCGGUGGCGAAGGCGGCCCCCUGGACAAAGACUGACGCUCAGGUGCGAAAGCGUGGGGAGCAAACA